CACACACAGAUUUUUAUAAAAUCCUAUUUCCCUACCCCUUUAUCUCUAUGAAGCCCGGCUGGUAUUGUUCAAAAACGCCAGAACAUGACGUAGCUGCUUGAGCCGGGAAAAUCGCAUUUUUUCGUGAUGCAACGCACGCCAAUCAAGAUCGCCGAAUUUCCACGAAAAUUCAAGCAAUCAUUACGAAAAGAUCGUUUCAAGGUAGACGAAACCUCGAUUAUGAAAUUAACAGAACG
rnacentral:misc_RNA from 1 species